CUGAUAAACAAUGAAAACACCCCUUAACCAGGAUAAACCAAAUAGCCUACAGAGGGGCAUGCAACAUUUACCUAAAGCCGUGAACACAACCGCACACGCCUAGGAAACCAGUUCACAACUAAGGAGAUAUGAAUGAGUGUGAGGAGACCAACGGUGGCUGUGAGACUUUGCGCUGCAACACCAUUGGCAGCUUCUACUGCAAGUGUCCACUCGGCCAGGUGCUCAGGGAGGACGGCAAGACCUGCCAAGGAAUCCCAACAGCCGCCUAUUGAAAUGAAAAGAAGAGGCAGAUGUUUGGAAAGUCAUUAAGAAUGAAGAAUGUCCUGUCCGGUUUACAUUAAGUCUUGGCUUUUCCCGGGUUGAAAGAACUGCUAUGUUUUCUUUCCUUGGCCUCAUUAUUCAUAAGAAGCCUCCAGGAGCUGUGUCCAUGCCGUGCUGUAUUACAGUAAGCAGGAGUGUAGGUGUGUAGAUGUGUAACGUAUGCACGAGCAUGUUGGGAAAAAUCUAUGCUGAGCCGCAGAAAUGUAGUGGUGCUACAAUGAUUCUGUGUGUGUAUGUGUGUGUUUGCGUGCAUGUUUGUGUGUGUUUGCAUGUCCAUGUGUGUGUUUGUGCUUGGUGCUCAUGUGUGUCCUAUUUAAGUCCAGACCUUUUGGCCUGAGGACAGUACCUAUAAAAGACAGGAACAAUUCAUCCCAAGAGUCUCACUGCCAUGGAAAAGACAGAGGAUCCCUGAGGCAAAGCCAACAUAAAAUGCUCUCACUUCAAAGCAGGCCUUUAGCCUAGUCAAUGGAGGUGCGUUCAGGAAAGUAUGAACCACUGUAAUGUGAACAGCCCAAUCUCUUUCUAAUCAUGUCCGACUGGCUGCUGAACAAUGUCUAAGGUGUCGCAGAGUGUCUGGUUUGUAUCAUAGACUUAUGGCACAGGUACACGAGCCAAGUAUUUUUUGUGGUACUGUACGGUAUCCAUAUUAGGACAGCCUCAGGAUGUGAGACAUGACUGAUACACCCCCACUGUGGUGGAUGCUGCCUGCAUGCUACAUACGCAGCAUCAUCAACACAGCAACGUUUGAGGCUUGUGUGCCUGGAUCGUCUUUUUACAGAGGUUAUAAUAGCCUUAUAAAAAUAUAUAUUUUGUACACAAUAAAGAAAAUGUAUUACGGGUAAACAUCUAAAUAUUUCUCCCAGUGUUUAUGAAAGCUCAGAAUGCUUAUAUUCUUGAUCUGACAGUUUUAAUCGUAUGUGACUAUUUGUGAAUGAGUGGAAUCAUCAACGGUGGUUUAUUCGUAAUGAUUUCCUCUGUCCCCCGGAUUUGCCUCACAUAUGUUAUUUUUUAGCAGCACAUUCACCACUCACUCAAACAGCAAAGUCCACCCUCUUGCAGUUCAUGCCGAGGGCCUGAUACGUGAAAUGAACUACCCCAGAAUUACCCCAGGUUGAGACUAGAGUGCAGUGUGUUCGCAAGAUGCCGGACAAAAGGCAAUUUUAGAACCGUCCCACAACUCCUGCUUUGUCUACAGACAUCCCCCAAACAAACAAUGCAGGAGGAAUGUAGGAGGAAGCAUAUAGGAGGAUGCAGAGGAGACAGAUAGAGAAGCAUCAUUAUUAAUGCCUCGGAAUACAAAUUUGAAUGGUAUGGAAUUUGAAGAAAAGAGAUAUCUAUGUAAAGAGAUUAUGAUUUUAUGCAAUUCAUCGUUACAACUGACUGAACAAAAAUCAAAUUGUAUUGGUUGCAUACACAUAUUUUGCAGAUGUUAUUGCGGGUGUAGCAAAAUGCUUGUGUUUCUAGCUCCAACAGUGCAGUAAUAUCUUAUAAUACACAACAAUAUACAGUCGCUACACAGUAGCGACUAUACAGUGUCUUUUUUGAUUGUUUUUUUCUGUUCUCCACAUGACAUUUUAAAGUGUUUUAAAUGUAUAGAAAUGCAGUAAAUGAGCUUCAACUUUAAAAUUGUUUUACUUCAGGCUCUGUCAUUCUAUAGAUGAGCUCACGUAUGGCUUGCUUGGCACAUCACUUGACCACACUAUUACCGUGCUAUUUCCCUCACUCAGCUGAAGUUGGCUAUUCCCUCGCUGCUCCCAUCCAUGCACAGCAGUAGAUGAUUUAAAUACAUCAAGAACAGCCCUUGCAAAUCCCACAAUGCCUUUAAUGUCCAAAAUGACAUUAACGUGUUGAUUUAUGUUGGGCUUAUAUCAAUAUACUUUGGAUAAAGUUGAUCGAGUCCAUCAUGUGAAUAAAUAUGAGUUUU